rnacentral:lncRNA from 1 species
UAGUUUAACCUAACAAUACCUGCUCAUAGAACAGGAGGGGCGUUUCUCAACCUAUAGCGCUACCAUUGUUAGGGGAGGCUUGUACGAAGUUAAUGAACACAUAGUCAUUAGGUGUUUACAGUAGCAUAACAUGUCUAACAUGAUUAAAAUGUAUCACAUAGAGUAAGGAUUGAGUGUGCAUAAAAUGUUUAAUGUGUUGUGAUUGCGUUGCGUAUUUCUUGGAAAGAGAAUAUGAGGAUUGUUCCAAGUGUCGUUGCACAAGAGAAUUACCCUAUUAA